rnacentral:rRNA from 1 species
AGCGGAGGAAAAGAAACCAACCGGGAUUGCCUUAGUAACGGCGAGUGAAGCGGCAAAAGCUCAAAUUUGAAAUCUGGUACCUUCGGUGCCCGAGUUGUAAUUUGGAGAGGGCAACUUUGGGGCCGUUCCUUGUCUAUGUUCCUUGGAACAGGACGUCAUAGAGGGUGAGAAUCCCGUGUGGCGAGGAGUGCGGUUCUUUGUAAAGUGCCUUCGAAGAGUCGAGUUGUUUGGGAAUGCAGCUCUAAGUGGGUGGUAAAUUCCAUCUAAAGCUAAAUAUUGGCGAGAGACCGAUAGCGAACAAGUACAGUGAUGGAAAGAUGAAAAGAACUUUGAAAAGAGAGUGAAAAAGUACGUGAAAUUGUUGAAAGGGAAGGGCAUUUGAUCAGACAUGGUGUUUUGUGCCCUCUGCUCCUUGUGGGUAGGGGAAUCUCGCAUUUCACUGGGCCAGCAUCAGUUUUGGUGGCAGGAUAAAUCCAUAGGAAUGUAGCUUGCCUCGGUAAGUAUUAUAGCCUGUGGGAAUACUGCC